GAACGCUAUUGCGGGCUCAAUUGCAGAGUGUACUUCCGUAGGGGGGUACCUUGAAAAGAUAAAGAGCCAGUUCACUGUUUCUUCAAAGAUUUAUGCCACUCAGUUGCUGAAACAACUGGUGACAGAAAAGUAAACAGUCGGUGGACAUGGCAUAACCGAGCACAUCCUCAGGUUGAGCAACAUGGCAGCUAAGUUGAAACCCAUGGAUUUGGACUUGAAGCUCAAACCUGCGCUCCUUGUUCACCUGGUUAUGGCUUCACUGUCAAAAGAGUUCGAGACUUCUAUUGUCAACUACAACUUGUCGCCUGAAAAAUGGGACAUAGAAAAGACUAUAGUCAUGCGUGUUCAAGAAGAGGAAAGACUUAAAACCUCACAUGGUGGUUUUCUGAACUAUGUGAAGGAUAAGAAAAGGAACUACAAUCACAAUAGCAAUGGUUCCCCUUCAAAGCCACAUGGAAAAGCUCCCAUGCAAUAUCAGCAUCAGCAGAAGUCUUUUCCAGUGGACAAAGACACAUGUCUCCACUGCAAGAAGACUGGGCAUUAAAAGAAAGAUUGCCCCGAUUGGUUAAAGUCAAUAAUGGCAAAGAGAGGGAUUCCAUUCGACGCGGAUUACGCAAAGAAGAGAAAGAAGCAUUGAAGUCGCGAAUGGAGUUCAAGCAGAAGUUGAAGCUGUCGGCGACAUCUCCCUAGAGUUAGCUGACGGAUUCAAGCUUUUGCUUAGAGACGUUUUAUAUAUUCCUUCGUGUCACAGAAAUUUGAUAAGUGUUUCAUGUUUGGAUAAAAACCAUUAUAAAUGUUAUUUUGGACAUGGCAAGUGUGCCAUAUGGUUUAAUAAUGCUUAUGUGGGUGAUGCUUUACUUCACAAUGAUCUUUAUUUAUUAUCACUUCGUAAAAAAGUGCAUUAUGUGUGUAAUGUGAAUGAGCAAGUUUCCGCGUCGAACAAAGAACAAAA